rnacentral:rRNA from 1 species
AGUGAACGCUGGCGGCGUGCCUAAUACAUGCAAGUCGAACGGAGAUUCAGUAGCUUGCUAUUUAAUCUUAGUGGCGCACGGGUGAGUAAUAUAUAGCUAACUUGCCCAUUACUAAGGGACAACAGUUGGAAACGACUGCUAAUACCUUAUACUCCGUAUCUAUAUAAGUAGAUACGGGAAAGUUUUUCGGUAAUGGAUAGGGCUAUAUCGUAUCAGCUAGUUGGUAAGGUAAUGGCUUACCAAGGCUAUGACGCGUAACUGGUCUGAGAGGAUGAUCAGUCACACUGGAACUGAGACACGGUCCAGACUCCUACGGGAGGCAGCAGUAGGGAAUAUUGCUCAAUGGGGGAAACCCUGAAGCAGCAACGCCGCGUGGAGGAUGACACUUUUCGGAGCGUAAACUCCUUUUCUUGGGAAAGAAUUAUGACGGUACCCAAGGAAUAAGCACCGGCUAACUCCGUG